UGCUCAACAGGGGCAGAGGUGUGUGUGGGGUAGGGGGGGGAGUGGCGGGUGUCCAGUGAUUCAGCUACAUGUGAUAGAUGACCAAGUGACUUCUUCCUUGGGGUCCGCACAUCAGUGGAAGACACCCAACACUGGUGGUGGCUGACUUGAUCAAACUCUGGCUCCCCGAACUGGAAUGAAAUGCGGUUAACUCUUUAGAAAACUUUCGCAGGAAGAGCGCCUCGUGUGAUCUGGAACAAAGACAUUUUAUAAUCAGAUUUAUCAAGCUGUGAAGAGGGAGUUUCAGCAAACGGAAGCAGCAGCAUUCUGUCACCAGGAAAUACUGCUUCAUCCAGAAUUGAUAGAGUCGAUUGCUGUAAAUGGAUUGCAGCCCCUUGUUGUCCUCUGCUCUGCAUCCUGUAUUAAAAGUCCUCCCUUUUAUGCAAGAGCUCCUCCCCAGAAAACUGCAGAUCACCUAGCUGCUGGCGAAUGUAGGUACCCUCAAGGGCUCAGUAGCCAGUGUAGAUCCUGUCUUUUGGAAUCAGUAGCUACAUCUGGCUACUGGGUCUCUGAUGGCAUCUUCUGGCAUCCGUGACAGUGUCCUGAGCAAGUUUGCUGUGCUGUCCUUCAUAAUUUAAGUGUUACCUUGAUUUACAUACACACACUCACAUAGAGUUAAGUUCCGGAGUGGUACAUCUUCCAUUAUUAGCUGGCAUGUGAAUUGAUUUCAGCACCACAAGAAGGAGGAAUCCAUAGACUGUUUUUCUUUUUCUUUCCUCUUUUCCCCAUGUGGAAGGUGUCAUCUGUCACAAAAUCAUUUGUGUACCUACUUAACUUACCUACCUAUAUAUCUUAUCCAUCCACCCACCCUCCCAUCCAUCCACCCAUCCACCCAACUACCCAACUACCCAUCCAUCCAUCCAUCUACCCACCCAUCCACCCAUCUGUCCUUCUAUCCAUCCAUCCAUCCAUACAUACACACGUCCCUACCUACAUCCACCCACCCGUCCAUCCACCUAUUCAUCUGUCUACCCACCCAUCCAUCCAUCUUUGUCAUCUCUAGACUUUUAAAUGGCAUUUUUCACAAUUAUGUGAAUAAAAAUGACAAUUUUACAGUAUGACAGUUUAAGGACAUUUUACUUGUAGUUGAUGAGUCCCAACAGUGCAUUUUGACAUGUCUUUUCAGUGAGGUAGAUCUGAUACAUACUGGGAACUUGGAAUGCAGCCGGCAGUUAUGUUGAAAUCAUGCGUGGGGAGGACUUACAGGGCCAGCAUCCAGGUCUGGGGCGUGAACCUGGCAUACAAUGUAGACAUCUGUGUUUCUUGAGCAACAGCUACAUUGUCUGCUGGGUUUCAGGCUACCUGGAAACAUGUUCUUCAUGGUUAUACCCUCAGCGCUUCACUGGCAGGCUCUGGAAUAACUGUUUCCCAAGAGGCAGAAACCUCUUUGGCAUUGGGCAGUGGGCUUUGGCAUUAGACAGUGUAGAGCAAGGGCCUCAUGACGGCUGAUCACCUUAGCAAGGAAUUAUUUUGCUCUGAUUUCACCUAAGAUGCUCUCCCACACCAGCCUAGGAAACUGAACGAACCAGAGAAAAGGUGGAAUGCCAUUCGUCCUACCUUCUGCCUCAACUCUCAAACAGCGAUAACUUACGUGUUGUUAUUAAUUCGUAUUUGGUUUCUGUUCGUAAUUACUGUCACCAGGCAUAGCACCUAUGGGCCCGGUCACACUUCCCUGCUCAUUUUGGCUUCUUGCCCACAUGCAGGAACCCGGUUUAGUUUUGUUCUCCCUUUACCACAGCCUGGAAAUUUCUGUAAGUGACUCUCAGUCUCACCGGAUUCCAGAUCUUUCACUCUGCCCCAACAUUCAACCACAUGAUUUGCUCUCUAAACUAAACUCUGGAAUUUACAUAAACUAGACUUUUUUUUUUUACACCACGGUCCACCAUCUCUUAUGAAACCAGAAGAACAGCUUUAUGGCAUGACCAAGAACUUGUAAAGAUAAGACACCAGUUUGCAAGAGAAAGGGAAGAAGGGAAUGCAAAGAGCUUCUGGAAAACUUUUUACAUUAUGGUUUGUUUAUCUGCUCCUGGUAAAUAAUGUAAUCCUCUAAACAUUAAAACAAAAUCUAGCAAUUUAAACCAUUAAAUCCUCAGUAAGAAAGGAAUAUAACUUUUUAAAGGAGAAGUUUAUAAACUCUUGGUGAUAUGGAGAGUUUUAGUAAGAGAUCAUGUGUUUUUAAUUAAUAUGAAUUAACAGAUUUAAAGUAGAACGUGAAUGAGUAAUAGUUGAUUUUCAUGAUCAUAAUGUAUUUUUGUCACCCCAUGCUGAAUUCAGGAAAAAUAAAGCUAAUGACUUGAAAGA